ACUAAAAUACUCCUCCAUUCAUCAUGCAUUUUUUUUGAGUUUAGAAUAUUAUUAAAUAAUUCAGACAAAUUUCCCAUGGUAAAGUUAAAAAAACAUUUGCACGAGAAUAGAAGUGGCAUGUAAUUCCGACUUGGUACUUGUAACUUCAAUGCACGUAAUCAAUGAUAAAGGAAUAAAUGUUUGUACCCCCAAUUGCCUUUCUUGGUCUACACUUUUCUGCUAGCUUACUCAGAUGCCUCUUAGUUUUUGGGUUCGAUUUCACAUUCUCACAUGCUUAGAAGUUCCAUUUCUCAUAAAUUACUUGGUGCAAUUAUGUAUUGAGAUAUUCUAUAUAUGCUGCCUAGCUGCAAUAAAAUCUGGCUUUCAAUUUCAGUUACUGGCAAUCUAUGA
rnacentral:misc_RNA from 1 species